rnacentral:rRNA from 1 species
GAACUGAAGAGUUUGAUCAUGGCUCAGAUUGAACGCUGGCGGCAGGCCUAACACAUGCAAGUCGAGCGGCAGCACGGGUACUUGUACCUGGUGGCGAGCGGCGGACGGGUGAGUAAUGCCUAGGAAUCUGCCUGGUAGUGGGGGAUAACGCUCGGAAACGGACGCUAAUACCGCAUACGUCCUACGGGAGAAAGCAGGGGACCUUCGGGCCUUGCGCUAUCAGAUGAGCCUAGGUCGGAUUAGCUAGUUGGUGAGGUAAUGGCUCACCAAGGCGACGAUCCGUAACUGGUCUGAGAGGAUGAUCAGUCACACUGGAACUGAGACACGGUCCAGACUCCUACGGGAGGCAGCAGUGGGGAAUAUUGGACAAUGGGCGAAAGCCUGAUCCAGCCAUGCCGCGUGUGUGAAGAAGGUCUUCGGAUUGUAAAGCACUUUAAGUUGGGAGGAAGGGCA